rnacentral:rRNA from 1 species
UACGUAGGGUGCAAGCGUUAAUCGGAAUUACUGGGCGUAAAGCGUGCGCAGGCGGUUGUGCAAGACCGAUGUGAAAUCCCCGGGCCUCAACCUGGGAAUGGCAUUGGUGACUGUACGGCUAGAGUGUGUCAGAGGGGGGUAGAAUUCCACGUGUAGCAGUGAAAUGCGUAGGAGAUGUGGAGGAAUACCGAUGGCGAAGGCAGCCCCCUGGGAUAACACU